rnacentral:tRNA from 2 species
GCCGGAAUAGCUCAGUUGGUAGAGCAGGGGACUGAAAAUCCUCGUGUCACCAGUC